GACGAACGCUGGCGGCGCGCUUAACACAUGCAAGUCGAGCGAGAACCAGGGCUUCGGCCCUGGGGACAGCGGCGAACGAGUGAGUAACACGUGGAUAACCUGCCCUCGGCACCGGGAUAGCCCGGGGAGACCCGGAUUAAUACCGGAUGGCCCUUCCGGCUCUCGAGCCGGUCGGAAAAGGUAGCUCCGGCCUCCGGCCGAGGAUGGGUCCGCGGCGGAUUAGCUUGUUGGCGGGGUAACGGCCCACCAAGGCGACGAUCCGUAGCUGGGCUGAGAGGACGAUCAGCCACACUGGGACUGAGACACGGCCCAGACUCCUACGGGAGGCAGCAGUGGGGAAUCUUGCGCAAUGGGCGAAAGCCUGACGCAGCGACGCCGCGUGAGGGAAGAAGGCCUUCGGGUUGUAAACCUCUUUCAGGAGGGACGAAGCUACUCGGGUGAAUAGCCCAGAGGGUGACGGUACCUCCAGAAGAAGCCCCGGCUAACUACGUGCCAGCAGCCGCGGUAAAAC
rnacentral:rRNA from 1 species